AUUGAACGCUGGCGGCAGGCUUAACACAUGCAAGUCGAACGAGUGGCGGAAGGGUGAGUAAUGUCUGGGAAACUGCCCGAUGGAGGGGGAUAACUACUGGAAACGGUAGCUAAUACCGCAUACAAUCAGAUGUGCCCAGAGGGGAGUAGCUAGUAGGUGGGGUAAAGGCUCACCUAGGCGACGAUCACUAGCUGGUCUGAGAGGAUGACCAGCAACACUGGAACUGAGACACGGUCCAGACUCCUACGGUAGGCAGCAGUGGGGAAUAUUGCAAAAUGGGCGCAAGCCUGAUGCAGCCAUGCCGCGUGUAUGAAGAAGGCCUUCGGGUUGUAAAGUACUUUCAGCGAGGAGGCGUUACUCGCAGAAGAAGCACCGGCUAACUCCGUGCCAGCCGCCGCGGUAAUUC
rnacentral:rRNA from 1 species